UGAGUAAUGCUUAGGAAUCUGCCUAUUAGUGGGGGACAACAUCUCGAAAGGGAGCUAAUACCGCAUACGUCCUACGGGAGAAAGCAGGGGAUCUUCGGACCUUGCGCUAAUAGAUGAGCCUAAGUCGGAUUAGCUAGUUGGUGGGGUAAAGGCCUACCAAGGCGACGAUCUGUAGCCGCCACAGGGUCUGAGAGGAUGAUCCGCCACACUGGGACUGAGACACGGCCCAGACUCCUACGGGAGGCAGCAGUGGGGAAUAUUGGACAAUGGGGGGAACCCUGAUCCAGCCAUGCCGCGUGUGUGAAGAAGGCCUUAUGGUUGUAAAGCACUUUAAGCGAGGAGGAGGCUACUUUAGUUAAUACCUAGAGAUAGUGGACGUUACUCGCAGAAUAAGCACCGGCUAACUCUGUGCCAGCAGCCGCGGUAAUACAGAGGGUGCGAGCGUUAAUCGGAUUUACUGGGCGUAAAGCGUGCGUAGGCGGCUUAUUAAGUCGGAUGUGAAAUCCCCGAGCUUAACUUGGGAAUUGCAUUCGAUACUGGUGAGCUAGAGUAUGGGAGAGGAUGGUAGAAUUCCAGGUGUAGCGGUGAAAUGCGUAGAGAUCUGGAGGAAUACCGAUGGCGAAGGCAGCCAUCUGGCCUAAUACUGACGCUGAGGUACGAAAGCAUGGGGAGCAAACAGGAUUAGAUACCCUGGUAGUCCAUGCCGUAAACGAUGUCUACUAGCCGUUGGGGCCUUUGAGGCUUUAGUGGCGCAGCUAACGCGAUAAGUAGACCGCCUGGGAGUACGGUCGCAAGACUAAAACUCAAAUGAAUUGACGGGGCCCGCACAAGCGGUGGAGCAUGU
rnacentral:rRNA from 1 species